rnacentral:rRNA from 1 species
GUGUCAGCCGCCGCGGUAAUACGGAGGGUCCGAGCGUUAUCCGGAAUCAUUGGGUUUAAAGGGUCCGUAGGCGGGCCUGUAAGUCAGGGGUGAAAGUUUGUGGCUCAACCAUAAAAUUGCCUUUGAUACUGCAGGUCUUGAGUCAUGGUGGGGUUGCCGGAACAUGUGGUGUAGCGGUGAAAUGCAUAGAUAUCACAUAGAACACCGAUCGCGAAGGCAGGUGACCAACCAUGUACUGACGCUGAUGGACGAAAGCGUGGGUAGCGAACGGGAUUAGAUACCCCGGUAGUCCACGCCGUAAACGAUGGAUACUAGCUGUGGGGUUUUCGGACUCCGUGGCCAAGCGAAAGUGAUAAGUAUCCCACCUGGGGAGUACGUUCGCAAGAAUGAAACUCAAAGGAAUUGACGGGG